GCCGACUAUAUAUGCGGCAUUUGCAAGCCCGUGCAACCACCUGCAACGCCUGAGUGAUCACUCGUAAUGAGCAGGUCAGCGGUUCGAGUCCGCUCGUCGGCU
rnacentral:tRNA from 1 species